rnacentral:rRNA from 1 species
UACGUAGGGGGCGAGCGUUGUCCGGAUUCAUUGGGCGUAAAGAGCUCGUAGGCGGCUUGUCAAGUCGGGUGUGAAACCUCCAGGCUCAACCUGGAGACGCCACUCGAGACUGUCAUGGCUAGAGUCCGGUAGGGGAUCACGGAAUUCCUGGUGUAGCGGUGAAAUGCGCAGAUAUCAGGAAGAACACCCGUGGCUAAGGCGGCUCUCUAGUACGGUACUGACGCUGAGACGCGAAAGCGUGGGGAGCGAACAGG